GAGUUUGAUCAUGGCUCAGGAUGAACGCUGGCGGCGUGCCUAACACAUGCAAGUCGAGCGCGGUUGUGCUUAGUAUUGAGUGUUUUAUUGAUAUAAAACAUUGAAUUCUAUGCACAACUGAGCGGCGGACGGGUGAGUAACGCGUGGGUAACCUGCCCUAUACACAUGGAUAACAUACUGAAAAGUUUACUAAUACAUGAUAAAAUAGUUUUUCGGCAUCGAAGAAUUAUCAAAGUGUUAGCGGUAUAGGAUGGACCCGCGUCUGAUUAGCUAGUUGGUGAGAUAACUGCCCACCAAGGCGACGAUCAGUAGCCGACCUGAGAGGGUGAUCGGCCACAUUGGAACUGAGACACGGUCCAAACUCCUACGGGAGGCAGCAGUGGGGAAUAUUGCACAAUGGGCGCAAGCCUGAUGCAGCAACGCCGCGUGAACGAUGAAGGUCUUCGGAUCGUAAAGUUCUGUUGCAGGGGAAGAUAAUGA
rnacentral:rRNA from 1 species